GUUCCCCAUGAGAGCAAGCGGAAGCUAGUCUCCACGUGAGACCACACUCUGGCUCAGCCUUAGCCUUUUUCUCGCCCUGUCUUGCUUCCCUCACCCCCUUCUCCUGAGAGCAUUUCCCCAAUAAUUCACUUGAACAAGAAUGCUCAGCUUAGGCUCUGCUUCUAGGGAACCUGACCCAUGACACGCUCUGUUAGCUUCCUGAGAGACUAUCUUGUUAGUUCCCCUAGAACAAAUUCCUGUCUUGGACUCUGCUUAUGAUCACUCCCUUCAUUCCCCUGCCAAGAAUGACAGCUCAGUGAGGGAAUAUGUUCUUCACUUCCCUAGAACUGUUCCUAGAACACAGUAGGUGCUCAAUGAUGCACUGAAUGCAUGCAGGGGAGAGCCCAGAGUCUAUCUGACAGCUCAGCGGUCAGCACCCCUUCUUGUCCUGGGGUGGCCUGGCCUGGAGGCAUUGUGAGUCAUAGCAGGUGGACAAGAGCUGAGUGGGUCAGAGAUGGGACUAGCCCUG
rnacentral:lncRNA from 10 species